AACGAACGCUGGCCGCAGGCUUAACACAUGCAAGUCGAACGGGUGUAGCAAUACAUCAGUGGCAGACGGGUGAGUAACACGUGGGAACCUUCCUAGGGGUACGGAACAACUCAGGGAAACUUGAGCUAAUACCGUAUACGUCCGUGAGGAGAAAGAUUUAUCGCCCUUAGACGGGCCCGCGUCGGAUUAGCUAGUUGGUGGGGUAACGGCCUACCAAGGCGACGAUCCGUAGCUGAUCUUAGAGGAUGAUCAGCCACACUGGGACUGAGACACGGCCCAGACUCCUACGGGAGGCAGCAGUGGGGAAUCUUGGACAAUGGGCGCAAGCCUGAUCCAGCCAUGCCGCGUGAGUGAAGAAGGCCUUAGGGUUGUAAAGCUCUUUUGCCAGGGACGAUAAUGACGGUACCUGGAGAAUAAGCCCCGGCAAACUUCGUGCCAGCAGCCGCAGUAACAC
rnacentral:rRNA from 1 species